GAUGAAGAACGUAGCGAAAUGCGAUACGUAAUGUGAAUUGCAGAAUUCAGUGAAUCAUCGAGUCUUUGAACGCACAUUGCGCCCCCUGGUAUUCCGGGGGGCAUGCCUGUCCGAGCGUCAUUGCUGCCCUCAAGCACGGCUUGUGUGUUGGGCCUCCGUCCUCCUCCCGGGGGACGGGCCCGAAAGGCAGCGGCGGCACCGCGUCCGGUCCUCGAGCGUAUGGGGCUUCGUCACCCGCUCUUGUAGGCCCGGCCGGCGCUUGCCGACACAUCAAUCUUUUUUCCAGGUUGACCUCGGAUCAGGUAGGGAUACCCGCUGACCUUAAGCAUAUCAAUAAGCGGAGGA
rnacentral:misc_RNA from 1 species